UGGCUCACCAAGGCGACGAUGCGUAGCCGACCUGAGAGGGUGAUCGGCCACACUGGGACUGAGACACGGCCCAGACUCCUACGGGAGGCAGCAGUAGGGAAUCUUCCGCAAUGGACGAAAGUCUGACGGAGCAACGCCGCGUGAACGAUGAAGGCCUUCGUCCCGCAACGAGCGCAACCCUUGCCAUUAGUUGCUACAUUCAGUUGAGCACUCUAAUGGGACUGCCGGUGACAAACCGGAGGAAGGUGGGGAUGACGUCAAGUCCUCAUGGCCCUUAUGGGUAGGGCUACACACGUCAUACAAUGGCGCGUACAGAGGGUUGCCAACCCGCGAGGGGGAGCCAAUCCCAGAAAGCGCGUCGUAGUCCGGAUUGAAGUCUGCAACUCGAGUGCAUGAAGGCCUCUGAAGAGACUGCCGGUGACAAACCGGAGGAAGGUGGGGAUGACGUCAAGUCAGCAUGGCCUUUAUGUCUGGGGCCACACACGUGCUACAAUGGCCGGUACAAACCGUUGCAAACUCGCGAGAGUGAGCUAAUCGGAUAAAGCUGGUCUCAGUUCCCUACCUCCGAGUGGGGGAUAACGUCCCGAAAGGGACGCUAAUACCGCAUGACAUCCUGCCCUUGAACGGGUGGAGAUCAA
rnacentral:rRNA from 1 species